rnacentral:rRNA from 1 species
AUUGAACGCUGGCGGCAUGCCUUACACAUGCAAGUCGAGCGGCAGCGGACCUUCGGGUGCCGGCGAGUGGCGAACGGGUGAGUAAUAUAUCGGAACGUACCUUUCAGUGGGGGAUAACGUAGCGAAAGUUACGCUAAUACCGCAUAUUCUGUGAGCAGGAAAGCAGGGGAUCGCAAGACCUUGCGCUGAUUGAGCGGCCGAUAUCAGAUUAGCUAGUUGGUGAGGUAACGGCCCACCAAGGCGACGAUCGAUAGCUGGUCUGAGAGGAUGAUCAGCCACACUGGGACUGAGACACGGCCCAGACUCCUACGGGAGGCAGCAGUGGGGAAUUUUGGACAAUGGGCGCAAGCCUGAUCCAGCCAUGCCGCGUGAGUGAAGAAGGCCUCGG